GGUGUAUUGCGUAGUUGUAGAGAUUCGAUUUCACUCAAAAGCCACCAAAUGACUCCUCCCACCGUAUUAUGAUGUCCCCUAAGUUUUGGACUCAAUCCGAUAUCGAUUGGUCCAAGAAAUUCGACAAUUCAAGUUCGUACGACGUUUGUUACGAAAUGGAGUGGUUGGUGUAUUUUAUAGUUGUAGAGAUUGGAUUUCACUCAAAACCCGCC
rnacentral:lncRNA from 1 species